ACCUUACCUGGUCUUGACAUAGUAAGAACUUUCCAGAGAUGGAUUGGUGCCUUCGGGAACUUACAUACAGGUGCUGCAUGGCUGUCGUCAGCUCGUGUCGUGAGAUGUUGGGUUAAGUCCCGCAACGAGCGCAACCCUUUUCCUUAUUUGCCAGCACUUUGGGUGGGAACUUUAAGGAUACUGCCAGUGACAAACUGGAGGAAGGCGGGGACGACGUCAAGUCAUCAUGGCCCUUACGACCAGGGCUACACACGUGCUACAAUGGUCGGUACAAAGGGUUGCUACCUAGCGAUAGGAUGCUAAUCUCAAAAAGCCGAUCGUAGUCCGGAUUGGAGUCUGCAACUCGACUCCAUGAAGUCGGAAUCGCUAGUAAUCG
rnacentral:rRNA from 1 species